AAGCAACCAGGAUGGUGAAGGGCUUUAAGUUCAUGUCAUUAGAGAAUUAGUUGAAAGAACCUGGGGUUUGAGCUUGAAGUGGGGAGGGUAGGAGAUGGAGACAUAAGAGAUAUCUUCAAAUAUUUCAAGGACUGCUGCAUAGAAGAAGGAUUAGAUUAGUUCUGUCUGGUGCUACUCUAGAGAGAAAAACCAGGAACAAUAUAUGGAAAAGCUUUCUAACUAAAGAUGCCUCAAAAUGGAAUGGGCUGCUUCUAGAGGUGGUAUAUACUCUCCCCCUCCUUUAAGAUCUUCUGGCAAAGCAGAAGGUAAAGCUGAGGACCUGAACGUGGACCAAUUGUGACUCCAACCAGGUGCAGUCACAGCAUGAGACCUUGCCCAAGCACGCAGAGCCCACCCUAGUGUUUGGCACUUAGCAGGCAUUUAAUAGAUACUUGUUGAUGAAUUGAUUGAUGGUAUCUACUCCAUAGAAGGCUGUUGUGUGGAUCAGAUGUGGUCUAAGAACUGGAAACAACAUGAAUGCCUAUUGAUUGGGGAACAGUCUACCAAACUGUGGCUGGCCAGGAAUGUAAUGGAAAAUUACUCUGCUGAAGGAAAUGAUGAAUACUCAGAAGUUGAAAAGAGGGAAAUUUAGGCAUAAUGUGAGGAGAAUACGUCCUAAAAACUGGACCUGUCCAAAAGUGAAGUGUACUGCCUCAGAUGAUAUUGAAUUCCCACUCAUCUGAGGUUUUCAAGCAAAGGAUGGCUAACCAUUUAUCUGGUGGAAUUCUUAUUAAGGAAAGGAUUGGACUAGAUGAUUUCUGAAUUCCAUGCCAAUUCUGAGAUCCUGUGAAUAUUUUUUAUGAUAUCCUUGUGAAUAAGAUGAGAUGCAGGUGGCAUCAUUGUACAUUUAACUCCAUUUGGAACUGUCUGAAUGACCAGAAGCAAAGAGUCAUCAUUAAUGGAUCUAUUUCAAGCUGGAGAAGGCUUCUAGUGAGUGUCCCAGGAAUCUAUGCCUAGACUACUGCUGUUCAACAUUUUGAUCAAUGAGCUAGAUACAGGCACUGUAUAUUUAUCACAUUUGUAAGCUGCAAGAUCAUGGAAGAAACAGCAAUAGAAAUUCUAUUGUUGGACAAUAGACCAAGGUGUCAUUAGAUUCCUAGUCAUCAAACAGCUUGGAUGUCCACUUGGAAGAAUGUUGUCAAGGGUGUUCUUCUGUACAGGCUUAACCACUAGGAUUAUAAAGCACAGAUUAGAUUGUAUCAUCUCUCAGGUCCCUCCUAAUGUUAUAAUUCUGUGAUUCCUGUCAAUCUCAAAGAAGACAAGAGAAACUAUCCAUUCUUUUUAAAAUGAAGACAAUAGGGAAUCACUAGAUGAUGAUUUGCUUCCAGUCCACCAUGAAAGCAAUUUUACUGUGUAAGUUCCCAGAGAUUGUCAUCGGCCAUAUGGGAAUGAAUAAUGCCUCCAAAAAAGGCUUUCAUUUCUUAUGUUAGAAAUCCCCAGUUGUGGAGUCAGGGGCCCAACACAAUUUACUACCAUCUAGUUCAUUAUCUUGGUUAAUCUGUAAGUCAAUGAAACAGCAUUCAAAGGUCUUUUAAUAUAUAUUAUUUUAAUUUAUUAUUAUUCUUUUGGGUUAUGUGUGUCAUCAUUUCCCU
ensembl:lncRNA